rnacentral:rRNA from 1 species
AGGAUGAACGCUGGCGGCGUGCCUAAAACAUGCAAGUCAUACGGUCUACCUUCGGGUAGACAGUGGCAAACGGGUGAGUAACACGUGGGAACACGCCUUCGAGUGGGGAAUAACGCUGAGAAAUCAGUGCUAAUACCGCAUAUGGUCUAACGACUAAAGCAGCAAUGCGCUCGGAGAGUGGCCCGCGUCCGAUUAGCUAGUUGGUGGGGUAAUGGCCUACCAAGGCGGUGAUCGGUAGCUGGUCUGAGAGGAUGGUCAGCCACACUGGGACUGCGAACGGCCCAGACUCCUACGGGAGGCAGCAGUUAGGAAUUUUCGGCAAUGGACGAAAGUCUGACCGAGCGACGCCGCGUGGAGGACGAAGCCUUUCGGGGUGUAAACUCCUUUUCUGCGGGAAGAUAAUGACGGUACCGCAGGAAUAAGCACCGGCUAACUACGUGUCAGCAGCCGC